CACUUCUAAGGAAGGCAGCAGGCGCGCAAAUUACCCAAUCCUGACUCAGGGAGGUAGUGACAAGAAAUAACAAUAAACCGGCUUAUGCCGGUUUAAUUGGAAUGAGUACAAUUUAAACAUCUUAACGAGGAACAAUUGGAGGGCAAGUCUGGUGCCAGCAGCCGCGGUAAUUCCAGCUCCAAUAGCGUAUACUAAAGUUGUUGCAGUUAAAAAGCUCGUAGUUGGAUUUCUGUGGGGACGGAGCGGCCGGCCGCAACUCGCGGUUCGAGCUAGCGCUUUCCCUACAUCCUGCCGCGAACCGUGCUACCAUUAGUUUGGUGGCGCUGGGGAUCGGCUCGAUUACUUUGAGAAAAAUAGAGUGUUCAAAGCAGGCCACAUGCCUUGAAUAAGUUAGCAUGGAAUAAUAACUAAGGACUUCGGUUCUAUUUUGUUGGUGUUCGGGACUGAAGUAAUGAUUGAUAGGGACAGUUGGGGCGGUCUGUAUUCCAAAGCGAGAGGUGAAAUUCUUAGACCUUCGGAAGACAAACAGCUGCGAAAGCGUUCCGCAAGGAUGUUCCCUUUGAUCAAGAACGAAAGUUGGGGGAUCGAAGACGAUCAGAUACCGUCGUAGUCUCAACUAUAAACUAUACCAGCUAGGGAUCGGCCAACGUUAUUUUAUACCGACUUGGUCGGCACCUUAUGAGAAAUCAAAGCAUCUGGGUUCCGGGGGGAGUAUGGUCGCAAGGCUGAAACUUAAAGGAAUUGACGGAAGGGCACCACCAGCCGUGGAGCCUGUGGCUUAAUUUGACUCAACACGGGAAAACUUACCAGGUCCAGACAUAGUAAGGAUUGACAGAUUGAUAGCUCUUUCUUGAUUCUGUGGGUGGUGGUGCAUGGCCGUUCUUAGUUGGUGGAGUGAUUUGUCUGGUUAAUUCCGUUAACGAACGAGACCCCAGCCUGCUAAAUAGCGCGCGUGAGCUUUGCUCGCGGCGAGCUUCUUAGAGGGACUAUGAUGCGCGAUAGCACAUGGAAGUUUGGGGCAAUAACAGGUCUGUGAUGCCCUUAGAUGUUCUGGGCCGCACACGGGCUACACUGGCGCCUGCAACGAGCAUAUCAGCUGGCCCGAGAGGGUCUUGGCUAAUCUUUUGAACCGGCGCCGCGCUUGGGAUUGACCUUUGCAAUUGUUGGUCAUGCAACGAGGAAUGCCUUGUAAACGCGAGUCAUCAGCUCGCAUUGAAUACGUCCCUGCCCUUUGUACACACCGCCCGUCGCUCCUACCGAUGAAUGUUCCGAUGAAAUUUUCGGAGAGCACCUGUGAACUUGGCUCUGCCUUGCGAACGGGAGGCUCAAAGUCACUUAAAUCUGAACAUUUC
rnacentral:rRNA from 1 species